rnacentral:rRNA from 1 species
CUUGUACACACCGCCCGUCACACCAUGGGGAGCGGGUUCUGCCAGAAGUAGUUAGCCUAACCGCAAGGAGGGCGAUUACCACGGCAGGGUUCGUGACUGGGGUG